rnacentral:rRNA from 1 species
UACGUAGGGGGCAAGCGUUGUCCGGAAUCAUUGGGCGUAAAGCGCGUGUAGGCGGCCAGAAAAGUCCGCUGUGAAAACUCGAGGCUCAACUUCGAGCUGUCGGUGGAAACUUUCUGGCUAGAGUCCGGAAGAGGAGAAUGGAAUUCCUGGUGUAGCGGUGAAAUGCGCAGAUAUCAGGAAGAACACCCCGUGGCGAAGGCGGUUCUCUGGGACGGUACUGACGCUGAGACGCGAAAGCGUGGGGAGCGAACAGG